GCGGCCGCGGAGGAGAGUAGUGGCAGGGCGGGCUGCUGGCAGGGAGCGGCCGAGAGGUGCAGGGCCUUCCCCGGGGGUCGGAAGGUUGCGGGUGCCUUGGGAGCCGGGGGCCCUUGCGCGGGAUUGCAACCCCCGCGAAGACUCUGGCGCCUCCUGCAGGCGCCGCGAUCGCAGGCCGCGUGGGAGGGGGUACUGCAGGAUCGGGUACGCCGCUGGAGGCCGGUUUUGGGGGUGACUCAGAAGCUAGAAAGUCUGAUACAACGUCUGCUUCGAAUAGUUUAGAAGGCAACAAGGACAGAUCGAGUGCCAUGUUCUAGAACUGUCAGGAAGUGAACACGCCCAGUAAGAUGAUGCCGUAUUUUGAUCCAUGUUAAUCUACAAAAAUAACCACAGAAACAGCUGUAAUCUACUGAAUGUUGCCAGCCAAAAUAAAUCUUUGCAGGGUAUCUUUCAAGUAUUGUACUUCCUAUACCUUUUCCAGAUUUCACCGUUAAGACCAAACCUUCCUCCCAAGACUUGACUUUCUGCAUUAUUUUUGGAAUGCAGUCUUUUUUUUUUUUUUUUUUCCCAUUUUUAAGAGGGUCUUCAAAUCCUCAUCCUGUUUCACAUUCUUACUGUUUCCAAUUCCUAGCCUGGCUCCCUGCCCUAUUAUAGCGGGGCUCUCCUGGCUUUCAGCCCAACAGCAUGCUUGCCUUAAAGGAUGGACUUUAGGCCAGGUGCGAUGGCACUUUGGGAGGCCGAGGUGGGUAGAUCACAAGGUCGGGAGUUCGAAACCAGCCUGGCCAAAAUCGUGAAACCCUGUCUCUAUUAAAAAUACAAAAAUUAGCUGGGCGCGGUGGCAGGCGCCUGUAAUCCCAGCUACUUGGGAGGCUGAGGCAGGAGAAUCGCUUGAACCCAGGAGGCAGAGGUUGUAGUGAGCCGAGAUCGCACCAAUGUACUGGGCGUUAGAGCAAGACUCCAUCUCAAAAAAAAAAAAAAAAUGGACUUUAAAAAG